UACGUAGGGCGCAAGCGUUAUCCGGAAUUAUUGGGCGUAAAGAGCUCGUAGGCGGUUUGUCGCGUCUGCCGUGAAAGUCCGGGGCUCAACUCCGGAUCUGCGGUGGGUACGGGCAGACUAGAGUGAUGUAGGGGAGACUGGAAUUCCUGGUGUAGCGGUGGAAUGCGCAGAUAUCAGGAGGAACACCAAUGGCGAGGGCAGAUCUCUGGGCCGUAACUGACGCUGAGGAGCGAAAGCAUGGGGAGCGAACAGG
rnacentral:rRNA from 1 species